ensembl:lncRNA
GUGAGAGAGAGAGAUAGUGAGUGUGAGAGAGAGAUAGUGAGAGAGAGAGAGAGAUAGUGAGUGUGAGAGAGAGAGAUAGUGAGUGUGUGAGAGAGAGAUAGUGAGUGUGAGAGAGAGAGAGAUAGUGAGUGUGAGAGAGAGAUAGUGAGAGAGAGAGAGAGUAGUGAGAGAGAGAGAGAUAGUGAGUGUGUGAGAGAGAUAGUGAGUGUGAGAGAGAGAGAUAGUGAGUGUGAGAGAGAGAUAUUGAGUGUGAGAGAGAGAGAUAGUGAGUGUGAG